rnacentral:rRNA from 1 species
GACGAACGCUGGUGGCGCGCCUAACACAUGCAAGUCGAACGGAGCUGAGAGAAGCUUGCUUUUCUUAGCUUAGUGGCGAACGGGUGAGUAACGCGUGAGUAACCUGCCCUGGAGUGGGGGACAACAGUUGGAAACGACUGCUAAUACCGCAUAAGCCCACGAUCCGGCAUCGGAUUGAGGGAAAAGGAUUUAUUCGCUUCAGGAUGGACUCGCGUCCAAUUAGCUAGUUGGUGAGGUAACGGCCCACCAAGGCGACGAUUGGUAGCCGGACUGAGAGGUUGAACGGCCACAUUGGGACUGAGACACGGCCCAGACUCCUACGGGAGGCAGCAGUGGGGGAUAUUGCACAAUGGGGGAAACCCUGAUGCAGCGACGCCGCGUGGAGGAAGAAGGUUUUCGGAUUGUAAACUCCUGUCGUUAGGGACGAUAAUGACGGUACCUAACAAGAAAGCACCGGCUAACUACGUG